UACGAAGGGGGCUAGCGUUGUUCGGAAUUACUGGGCGUAAAGCGCACGUAGGCGGAUUUUUAAGUCAGGGGUGAAAUCCCGAGGCUCAACCUCGGAACUGCCUUUGAUACUGGAGAUCCUGAGUUCGGAAGAGGUUGGUGGAACAGCUAGUGUAGAGGUGAAAUUCGUAGAUAUUAGCUAGAACACCAGUGGCGAAGGCGGCCAACUGGUCCGAUACUGACGCUGAGGUGCGAAAGCGUGGGGAGCAAACAGG
rnacentral:rRNA from 1 species